rnacentral:rRNA from 1 species
UGGGGAAUCUUGCGCAAUGGGCGAAAGCCUGACGCAGCGACGCCGCGUGAGUGAUGAAGGCCUUCGGGUUGUAAAGCUCUGUGGAAAGAGAAGAAUAAGUGCAAACUAACAUUUUGCAUGAUGACGGUAUCUUUUAGCAAGCACCGGCUAACUCUGUGCCAGCAGCCGCGGUAAGACAGAGGGUGCAAACGUUGUUCGGAAUUACUGGGCGUAAAGCGUGUGUAGGCGGUCCAAUAAGUCGGAUGUGAAAGCCCCGGGCUCAACCCGGGAAGUGCACUCGAUACUGUUAGGCUAGAGUCUCGGAGAGGUUGGCGGAAUUCUUGGUGUAGAGGUGAAAUGCGUAGAUAUCAAGAGGAACACCUGAGGUGAAGACGGGUUGCUGGGCUGACACUGACGCUGAGGCGCGAAAGCCAGGGGAGCAAACGGGAUUAGAUACCCCCGUAGUCCCUGAGCGGGCUGGCAAGGCGCAU